AGUGAACGCUGGCGGCAGGCCUAAUACAUGCAAGUCGAACGGCAGCACAGCAGAGCUUGCUCUGUGGGUGGCGAGUGGCGGACGGGUGAGGAAUACGUGGGAAUCUGCCCAGUCGUGGGGGAUAACGUAGGGAAACUUACGCUAAUACCGCAUGCGCCCUUCGGGGGAAAGCCGGGGGACCUUCGGGCCUGGCGCGAUUGGAUGAGCCCACGUCGGAUUAGCUAGUUGGCGGGGUAAAGGCCCACCAAGGCGACGAUCCGUAGCUGGUCUGAGAGGAUGAUCAGCCACACUGGAACUGAGACACGGUCCAGACUCCUACGGGAGGCAGCAGUAGGGAAUAUUGGACAAUGGGCGCAAGCCUGAUCCAGCCAUGCCGCGUGAGUGAAGAAGGCCCUCGGGUUGUAAAGCUCUUUGUCCGGAAAGAAAGCGCCGGGUUAAUACCCUGGUGUCCUGACGGUACCGGAAGAAUAAGCACCGGCUAACUUCGUGCCAGCAGCCGC
rnacentral:rRNA from 1 species